rnacentral:rRNA from 1 species
AACGAACGCUGGCGGCAUGCCUAACACAUGCAAGUCGAACGAGAACUCCGUGCCUAGUGGCGCACGGGUGCGUAACGCGUGGUAAGCUGCCCUUAGGUUCCGAAUACCUCCCCGAAAGGGGUGCUCAUGCCAGAUAAUGUCUUCGCACCAACGAUUGUUGGCGGUUGGAUGGGCCCGCGUUGGAUUCGCUGGUUGGUGGGGUAAAAGCCUAGCACGGCGACGAUCCAUAGCUGGUCGGAGAGCAUGCUCAGCCACACUGGGGCUAAGACACGGCCCAGCAUCGUACGGGAGGCAGCAGUGGGUAAUAUUGUACAAUGGGGGAAGGUCUGAUCCAGCAAGGCCGGGGAAGUGAUGAAGGCCGUAGGGUUGUAAAGCUGUUUUACCCGGGAUGAUAAUGACGGUACCGGGAGAAUAAGCUCCGGCUAACUCCGUG